rnacentral:rRNA from 1 species
GAAUAUUGGACAAUGGGGGGAACCCUGAUCCAGCCAUGCCGCGUGUGUGAAGAAGGCCUUUUGGUUGUAUAGCACUCUAAGCGAGGAGGAGGCUACUCCAGUUAAUACAUAGAGAUAGUGGACGUUACUCGCAGAAUAAGCCCCGGCUAACCAUGUGCCAGCAGCCGCGGUAAUACAUAGGGUGCAAGCGUUAAUCGGAUUUACUGGGCGUAAAGCGCGCGUAGGUGGCCAAUUAAGUCAAAUGUGAAAUCCCCGAGCUUCACUUGGGAAUUGCAUUCGAUACUGGUUGGCUAGAGUAUGUGAGAGGAUGGUAGAAUUCCAGGUGUAGCGGUGAAAUGCGUAGAGAUCUGGAGGAAUACCGAUGGCGAAGGCAGCCAUCUGGCCUAAUACUGACACUGAGGUGCGAAAGCAUGGGGAGCAAGC